rfam:Coniochaeta ligniaria NRRL 30616 unplaced genomic scaffold CONLIGscaffold_8, whole genome shotgun sequence.
ACGUACGACCAUAGAUACUGGAGAAUUCGGGAUCCCGUCCGCUCUCCCAUAGACAAGCCAGUAAUCGUCAGACUAGUACUCGGGUGGGUGACCACCGGGGAAUCCCUGAUGUUGUACGUU